CACAGUGCCCAGCUGGAGUUUGGCAGCAUCUGCUGGAGCACUUUCUCAUCAAAGGGCUCAUUUAGGCCUUGCAAAACCUGACAGAUAAGGCCAAAUUUAAGGCUUCUCUUGGGAGUGGCUCCACCUGGGAGGAGUGCGAAGCUCCAGACUCCUCUGUCCACCUUGGGCUCCUGUGUUGAGUGUGAACUAAUUGCUACGAAGGAUGGGCAACAGGAAGGGGAGAAUUUCCAUCUUCCCUUUCAGACCUGAGAGGCCUGAAGGCGUUGCUCAUGGCUGUCUCAAAGGAAGACUUCCCUGAAUCUUGCCGUGGUGCUGCCUCCCUUCUCAGAAUUCCUGGGGCAAAUAAAGUUUGUACCAGAAAGCUGCCACAUGCCACGUCCUCCAGUUGUGUGUGGACAUCAUUGGGACCGAUCACAAAAG